AUGGGUGUGCCCACUCAGCUCCUGGGGUUGCUGCUGCUGUGGCUUACAGGUGCCAGAUGUGACAUCCAGAUGACUCAGUCUCCACCCUCCCUGGCUGCAUCUGUGGGAGAAAGUGUCACCAUCACAUGUCUAGCCAGUGAGGAAAUUUACGAUGGUUUAGCAUGGUAUCAGCAGAAGCAGGGAAAAUCUCCUCAACUCCUGAUCUAUGGUGCAAACAGCUUAGAAGAUGGUGUCCCAUCCAGGUUCAGUGGCAGUGGAUAUGGCACACAAUUUUCUCUUAAGAUUAACAGUUUGCAGCCUGAAGAUUUUGCAACUUAUUACUGUCAAAAUGCUUUAAGUACUCCUCUCACAGUGAUUCAGUCCAUAACAUAA